GGUCUCUCUUCCUGUAUAUUGCCUCAGAUUCACCUCUCUGCAAGUCCUACCUUCCAGAAAGUGGUUGCCUUUCUGUUCCUAGAAUUGAUGUUAUUUUUUUUUUCUUCUAUCUCCUGUUGAGUUUGUAGGUGUUCAGAAUGGUUUGAUAACUAUCUAGCUGAACUCCUGGGAACUGAUGAUAUAUAGGUCUCCUACUCCUCUGCCAUCUUGCUCCAGUGCUCUGCUUUUUUCUCUCAGGUAUCUUAGUCUAGUGCACCAACAGUCAAACCUAUUCAAGGUCCUACUCUACUCCCCUAGAGAUCCCGACAUCAUGUCUACAAGCAUAACAAUAUGGUGGGCUUAAAUAUAUUUUAUCUGCUAUUCCUUAUUUCUUUUGUUAGCAUAUGCUGUGCUUACAGUAUGUCUAUGUGGGAAAUAGAUAACCUAAACAACUGAGCAGCACUACGGGUUAUAGAAUACAGAACUGAAUACUUAGUUGAUACCCUCCGUCAUGAACACAAGUUUCUUACCUGGACAUGGAAUUUUAAAAAGAGAAGAAAGCAAAAAGUUUUUUAAAAAACAGGGGGGUGAGGGGAAUGCACAUUAUGCACAAAGGAACUAAGAAUAUGUUUUGUUUUUUUCCAAAUAUUUGGAAAUAUUUUCACAAAUAAUUCCACCUAUGAUAAUUGUCAUGUACAUAAGAAGUUUACUUGCUUCCAGGGGAAUAGUUCAUCAAAGCUCUCUCAUUAGGAGUUCUGAGUACUAGAGGGGAGAAUCUCCACUGUGCUGACAUUUGCCCUGUAAAUUGUUAUGGCCCCG
rnacentral:lncRNA from 1 species